rnacentral:lncRNA from 1 species
GGCAGCUUAUUUUGGAUUGGAUCACAAUGUGGAUCAAACAGGAAAAUCUGUUAUCAUCAACAAGACCAGCAGCACCAGAAUGUUCCGAGUCUUCCAGCAGUGCAGGCUCCUCAGGAUCGCUGUCCCGCACCCAUCCACCUCUCCAGAGCACACCCCUAGUCUCAGGUGUGGCAGCUGGCUCUCCAGGCUGUGUGCCUUAUCCAGAGAAUGGAAUAGGGGGCCAGGUUGCUCCCAGCAGCACCAGCUACAUCCUCCUUCCACUUGAAGCUGCAACAGGCAUCCCGCCUGGAAGCAUCCUUCUUAAU